rnacentral:rRNA from 1 species
ACGGAGGGUGCAAGCGUUAUCCGGAUUUACUGGGUUUAAAGGGUGUGUAGGCGGACUUUUAAGUCAGGGGUGAAAUCCCGAGGCUCAACCUCGGAACUGCCUUUGAUACUAUUGGUCUUGAAUGUUGUUGAGGUGGGCGGAACGGGUCAUGUAGCGGUGAAAUGCAUAGAUAUGACCCGGAACACCGAUUGCGAAGGCAGCCCGCUAAGCAACUAUUGACGCUGAGGCACGAAAGCGUGGGGAUCAAACAGGA